rnacentral:lncRNA from 1 species
UGGAAGAUACCCCGUGUCAAGAAGCUGACAGCACACACGUUUGGGAAGGAUUUAGUGGCUGAAGCACUUCUAGAAGACAUCACCAAAAUGAAACAGUCUACUAUCAGCAAAGAAUGCCAGAGCAAGAGUGUGAAACAGAGAGCACAGAGCCGUGAUGCUGCCCCCUGCCGGUGGUGCAGGAGAAAGGACGCAACCUCAGUCUACGACUCCUGCCAAGAUUAUCAGCCACGCUAGAAACUAAAGGGUGAAAACAGGGUUUCUCUGCUGCAAUUCCAUCUCUUCCUCUAGAAACUUGUCGUAGGAAUGACUCCCUGUAACUUCCCACACCUGCCUCUUCUUUCUGUAAGUGUUGGCUAACAGAAUCCCCUCCUUCCUCGGUCCUUGCUAAGUGACUGAAUUCAGAAACUCCUGGACAAUAUUACAACCAUCCGUAUUAC